ACCAUUUCUUUCAUUUGGCAAAUGACAUCAUGGAGAACAAUGAACACAUUCUGCUCUGAAUUAGCUCUUGGUAUCAUUGCCAGAGGCAGACUUUCUGGCUGGAGAAAACACUGAACUGACACAGAGUGACCCCCGUAAGGUGACAGUGUUCAGAUGUUGGGCUGAUUGGCAGUGACAUAGUGAGUUUAAAAAAAGAAAAUCAUGGGAGGAGGAGCCAAGAUGGCCGAAUAGGAACAGCUCCGGUCUACAGCUCCCAGCGUGAGCGACGCAGAAGACGGGUGAUUUCUGCAUUUCCAUCUGAGAAAUAAAGCAGUGAAGUGACUAAAACAGCAGAAAACAAAAUCUUCUUGAGUAAAGUACUCUUGGCAGUAGACUUUAUGAUGUGGUACAACAUCAGGAAAAAAUAAACCCAGCAGACAGAUGGUCUCCAGAGAGAAAUAACCAUAAACUCUGAAACUACUACACAUGAAAGUACCUGCCCAAGGAAUAGAGAAGACAGAUGUUUCUCUAGGGAUUGACCUACAAUGGCACUUGUUGCUCUUGGUGACCAGAGCUAAAAGAAAGCUGAAAGCCAGCAUCAGUGUGUGAAGUCACUGAAGUAUUUUAUAGAUCAGAAAAGUUGGCAAGCGAUGGACACUAGACAACACAAACUUCCUCUCUCCAAAAAUAUAUUCACAGUCAGCUUUAAAGCUGUAGUCACUCCUCUGGGGUCUGAAUAAACAUGGCCAUUCUUGAUAGACAUGUUGACUGAUGGACUGAGAGAUAUAGAUACAUGCCAUGAGAUCUCUUUAUGAGCAGUGGUCUUAUGGAUAUCUGCAUGACCUCUGCUGAAGUAAAAUACUGUGGUUCGUGAGAAGACGUGACCUUUGGAUACAGCUGGUCUAGUCCUGGCUCUGCUGUGUCAGUGAAAGUGGAACAGUUACAUGGCUCUCCCGAAUCUCUGUUUUCACUUGGUUAAAUGAGGGUUACAUGUACUUACUUCCAGUGUUGUUAUGAGAAUUAAAUGAGAUUAAAUGUUAAAAUUUGUGAGCGGUCAA